GAUGAACGCUGGCGGCGUGCCUAAUACAUGCAAGUCGAACGAGGUCUUCGGACCUAGUGGCGAACGGGUGAGUAACACGUUGGUACCUACCCUCGAGUGGGGAAUAACUGGCCGAAAGGUCGGCUAAUACCGCAUAAUACCGCAAGGUUAAAGUAGUAAUACGCUCGGGGAGGGGCCGUGGCGUCCCAUUAGCUAGUUGGUAGGGUAAUGGCCUACCAAGGCGACGAUGGGUAGCUGGAUCGAGAGGUUGACCAGCCACACUGGGACUGAGAUACGG
rnacentral:rRNA from 1 species